ACUCAUAGAAUUUUUUUUGAAUAUGAUAUUGAAGAUAUCAAGGAAGCAGCGUAGCUCAUGAGUG
rnacentral:tRNA from 1 species